CAGUGAUCGGGGCCGUUUUGGUGGCUAGGCGGGAUUGGCCGGAGCUGCGGUACUCGCGCUCGCCUCGCCGACCGCCAUUUCACAUCCUGCGACGGAGGCGGGGGCAGCCGCGGAGACGGCUUUUUCACAAGUAAAUUCAGUGAAAGUCAAGAUAAAUUCUUUGUCCUCCCCACCACCAGAGGACAUUUGGCAAAAUGUCUGGACACAUUUUUUUUUUUUUAAUCACAUCGGAAAGAGUGCUACCGAUAUCAAGUAGCAAAAUACUAAGCCAGCCCUAGGAUGAAAAUGUGAAACACAGGUUCUUACCAAGUCUGAAAAGUGGAGCAAAGGUGACCAUGCUUUGGGAUUUUCAUAGUUUGAGUUAAUUCCUCUGGGCUCCGCCACCCAGCGAGUUAAACAGGACAAGAUUCCUCCCAGGGGCUUGUGGUUCUGGGAAUGUGAGCAGCUUGUUUUCAUGAGAUCUGCACCCUGACUUGGCCUACUGUUAGGAGUUGUUGUGUUGGUGGUUGUGUUGUUUUUAGCUGUUUCUUCCAUCUUACACAGUUAUUUGUAUAUAAACACUUUUGAAAAGUAAAUGUUUA